GUCGAGCGCACUGGCCCAACUGAUAUGACGUGCUUGCACUGAUUUGACGAUGGAUUACCAGUGAGCGGCGGACGGGUGAGUAACACGUGGGCAACCUGCCCUAAAGCGGGGGAUAACAUUUGGAAACAGGUGCUAAUACCGCAUAACUACGAAAACCACAUGGUUUUCGUAUCAAAGAUGGUUUCGGCUAUCACUUUAGGAUGGGCCCGCGGUGCAUUAGCUAGUUGGUAGGGUAACGGCCUACCAAGGCAAUGAUGCAUAGCCGAGUUGAGAGACUGAUCGGCCACAAUGGAACUGAGACACGGUCCAUACUCCUACGGGAGGCAGCAGUAGGGAAUCUUCCACAAUGGGCGCAAGCCUGAUGGAGCAACACCGCGUGAGUGAAGAAGGGUUUCGGCUCGUAAAACUCUGUUGUUGAAGAAGAACGUGCAUGAGAGUAACUGUUCAUGCAGUGACGGUAUUCAACCAGAAAGUCACGGCUAACUAC
rnacentral:rRNA from 1 species